rnacentral:lncRNA from 1 species
UGCAUGCCUCUAGCUUGCUUUCCGGUUACUAAAUCUUUUCACUAAGCAGCUAUUGGACGGCGCGCAUGCAGUUUCACCGACAAAAUGCGUGAAUGGCGACUAAAAUUUAAUUAAGCAGUAAAAACCGUAGUGUAGUACGCAUGGCAUACUCUAAAUUGUUAAAAUUAAAUAUAUUGCGUGAAUUAACUUAAAUUGCCGCAGCUUUGAAGAUGUUGAAUAAGGCAGCAAUUUAAUACCGGCGCGGGCUGCUGAUUGAAGGCAAAAUUGCAUGCAGCUUGUUGCGGAAAACCAUACUUUAACUCUAUAUUCCAUUCGAAUAGCACUGCAACUCAUCUAUGAAGUGAGCGUGCAACAACUCCACACACAGACAGACGCCAACAAAAUGCUGCUCUUAUGUCUGAAAUCCAAAGUAUUGAUAUUUUGCUUGUAUUUUAUAAGCUAGUUUUAGAGAAAAUGGUAUUGUUCGUAAAUGUUAAAUGUUUAAAUUUUAGGUAACUUGAAUUUAAACCAAAAACAACGGCAAAAAGCUGUUGUCAAGUUGUGAAAAACUUGGAAAUGAUUUGAGAAAGACUGAAAAAUGUAUGUGCAUUUGCACUAUGAAUAUGUAAAAAAAUGGACUGAAAUAUAUAAUUGAUAAGGUGUUAAUAACACGCAGACAUAAAAUAAUGGAAAAAUGAAUAAAAAGCUAUGAAAAAUGCAAUGAGAAAAUGAUAAAUUGAAAGAACACUAUAAA